rnacentral:lncRNA from 1 species
UGUUUAACAUAUUUGUUUUUCGUUCAUUUUUUAUAUAAAUAAGGCCGUUAGUUUUCUCGUUUUAAUUGUUUUACAUUGUCUUAUCAGGGCCUUUUAUAGCUGACUAUGCGGUAUGGGCUUUGCUCAUUGUUGAAGGCCAUACAGUGACCUAUAGUUGUUAAUGUCUGUGUCAUUUUGGUCUCUUGUGGACAGUUGUAUUAUUGGCAAUCAUACCACAUCUUCUUUUUUAUAUACUCAUAUCUCAUUUACAUGUUAUUAUACUAAAUACACUUGAACAUUUGCCUCUUGAAGUAAAGCCGCCAUUGAUCGAUCAGUCAUCCCAAUAACAUACAGAUAUAAUAAAUACCUUACAAAAUUGUUGUUUGAUGUUAAUAAACAAAAAAAU